rfam:Myotis brandtii contig229337, whole genome shotgun sequence.
GGCGGUUCUCAGGUGACACAGCCCGGAACUGGGCCCCUUCCUCUCUGGUUCCAGGCGCAUCAUCCCAGAACUGCC